rnacentral:rRNA from 1 species
AGCUCCAAUAGCGUGUAUUAAAGUUGUUGCGGUUAAAAAGCUCGUAGUUGGAUUUCUGCUGAGGACGACCGGUCCGCCCUCUGGGUGUGUAUCUGGCUCGGCCUGGGCAUCUUCUUGGAGAACGUAGCUGCACUUGACUGUGUGGUGCGGUAUCCAUGACUUUUACUUUGAGGAAAUUAGAGUGUUUCAAGCAGGCAUAUGCCUUGAAUACAUUAGCAUGGAAUAAUAAGAUAGGACCUUGGUUCUAUUUUGUUGGCUUCUAGAGCCGAGGUAAUGAAUAAUAUGGAUAGUUGGGGGCAUUCGAAUUUAACAGUCAGAGGUGAAAUUCUUGGAUUUGUUAAAGACGGACUACUGCGAAAGCAUUUGCCAAGGAUGCUUUCA